GAUGAACGCUGGCGGCGUGCCUAAUACAUGCAAGUCGAGCGAACGGACGAGAAGCUUGCUUCUCUGAUGUUAGCGGCGGACGGGUGAGUAACACGUGGAUAACCUACCUAUAAGACUGGGAUAACUUCGGGAAACCGGAGCUAAUACCGGAUGAUAUUUUGAACCGCAUGGUUCAAAAGUGAAAGACGGUCUUGCUGUCACUUAUAGAUGGAUCCGCGCUGCAUUAGCUAGUUGGUAAGGUAACGGCUUACCAAGGCAACGAUGCAUAGCCGACCUGAGAGGGUGAUCGGCCACACUGGAACUGAGACACGGUCCAGACUCCUACGGGAGGCAGCAGUAGGGAAUCUUCCGCAAUGGGCGAAAGCCUGACGGAGCAACGCCGCGUGAGUGAUGAAGGUCUUCGGAUCGUAAAACUCUGUUAUUAGGGAAGAACAUAUGUGUAAGUAACUGUGCACAGCGUGACGGUACCUAAUCAGAAAGCCACGGCUAACUACGUG
rnacentral:rRNA from 1 species